GACGUUACGAUAUGCGCUUUGGAUGUCAAACUUAGCCAUGAGUGCACCCCGACCUAAUUUGGUGACCAUGGCAACGACUUCGUCGAAUUUUAUAUACUGCAGAGAAAAUUGUUCGGGGUCAAUACCAUCAUUACGACAAAUCCAAAAUCAAACGCCACUUUCCUGGUUGACCAGCCAUGGGGAUCACGCCAAAACUGCUAACGUGCAAAUUAGGUAGCGGGCUGCUAAGGAAAGGAUUGGUUACCCGUCCCAAAGCAACUUCGUUCUGCAGGUACGCAUCCACAAUCUCAGGAUGGGCAGUUGCUGAAGCUUUAUUUUUUCGUGCAGAGGUUACAGGAAACUGGGG